UACGUAGGGGGCAAGCGUUAUCCGGAUUUACUGGGUGUAAAGGGAGCGCAGACGGCAGCGCAAGUCCGGGGUGAAAGCCCGCGGCCCAACCGCGGGACUGCCCUGGAAACUGUGCGGCUGGAGUGCCGGAGAGGUAAGCGGAAUUCCUAGUGUAGCGGUGAAAUGCGUAGAUAUUAGGAGGAACACCAGUGGCGAAGGCGGCUUACUGGACGGUAACUGACGUUGAGGCUCGAAAGCGUGGGGAGCAAACA
rnacentral:rRNA from 1 species